rnacentral:rRNA from 1 species
GAAAUCAAAGUCUUUGGGUUCUGGGGGGAGUAUGGUCGCAAGGCUGAAACUUAAAGGAAUUGACGGAAGGGCACCACCAGGAGUGGAGCCUGCGGCUUAAUUUGAUUCAACACGGGGAAACUUACCAGGGCAAGACCUUAGAAGGAUUGACAGAUUGAUAGCUUUUUCUUGAUUUGAGGGAUGGUGGUGCAUGGCCGUUCUUAGUUCGUGGAGUGAUUUGUCUGGUUAAUUCCCUUAACGAACGAGACCUUAACCUGCUAACCUAGACGCGGUGAUCCUUUCGCCGUUGUGCUUCUUAGAGGGACUAUGCGUCAAAAAAUGCAUGGAAGUUUGAGGCAAUAACAGGUCAGUGAUGCCCUUAGACGUCCUGGGCCGCACGUGUGCUACACUGGUGCGUUCAGCAAGUUCUAACCUAACCCGAUAGGGGCUGGGUAAUCUUCAUAAUACGCACCGUGCUUGGGAUUGAUCUUUGCAAUUAUGGAUCAUGAACGAGGAAUUCCUAGUAAGUGCAAGUCAUCAUC